rnacentral:rRNA from 1 species
UGAGGAAUAUUGGGCAAUGGGGGCAACCCUGACCCAGCAACGCCGCGUGAGGGAAGAAGGUUUUAGGAUUGUAAACCUCUGUUGUAUAGGACGAAUAAAUGACGGUACUAUACGAGGAAGCUCCGGCUAACUACGUGCCAGCAGCCGCGGUAAUACGUAGGGAGCGAGCGUUGUCCGGAAUAACUGGGCGUAAAGGGCGCGUAGGCGGCAUGGCAAGUCAGGAGUGAAAGCUCGGUGCUUAACAUCGGAAGUGCUUUUGAAACUGCCAAGCUUGAGUGUAGGAGAGGUAAGUGGAAUUCCCAGUGUAGCGGUGAAAUGCGUAGAUAUUGGGAGGAACACCAGUGGCGAAGGCGACUUACUGGACUACAACUGACGCUGAGGCGCGAAAGCGUGGGGAGCAAACA